rnacentral:tRNA from 1 species
GUCUCUGUGGCUCAGUCGGUAGAGCGUUGGUCUCAUAUUAUCAUCUAUAUGACCCGGGCCUGUAGCCAGGGACAUCCAAAGGUCGCAAGUUCGAGCCUUGCCAGGGACA